AGACUACUCUCAGAAAUACGAAAACCGAAAUUUGAAACAGGAAGUUUUACAUGAAACGAAAUUAUCGACGGUUACCGGUAACGGAAAUGAACAAAAUCCGGAAAUCGUAAUUUUUCAAAAAUAAAAAAAAUCGGGGCGGGAAGAUUUCAGAGGGGCGGGGGGGGAUGAAAAUCUAUCAAUUAAUUUUAAUUGGCCUAACUGCUCUCAUAUUUCAUUUGAUAUCAAAACAUGGUAUAAGAAUCUGAAUUUUUUUUUUAUCAUGAUUGUUCCAAUACUUUACUUAUGAACUUGACUUGAAAAUUUGUAUUGCAAACUUGAUUGGGUGGAUUUUAUGAAAUUUGACUGUAAAUUUGAUUGGAUUAUAUGACUUUCUGAGCUAGGAAUGAUCACUCGCCUGUCUGAUCACGGAUGAAAUAAUGAGGUCACUCCGUGAUAUGACGACAGCUCUCAGAUCUGAUCAGCCUGUCUUUUUUCCGAUGUUAAUUGUUUGGUAAAUGUUCAAUGACGAAAUUAGAUCAGGUUGAAAUUAAACCUCAUGUUAAAACAAUGCAAUUUUGUGGUUAACUUGUUCGUUUAUCUUGUUGUUUUUAUAUGCAAAAUGUUAUAAAUAUGUUUAUGCGCAGGAUUCAUACAAAGGCAUGUGAGGGCUAUUUCAUUGAAAUGAAUAUGAGAGGGUAGGAAUAUAUAUAAGUACAAUUUAUGGACUUGGGGGUCAUGGGUCAUUCAUAGUGGAAUAUCCGUAUGAUGUUAAGAUUACAUUGAUAAUUAAGAUUAGUCAAAGAAAGCAUGUUUGUUUUUGAGAAGUAUUUUCUUACCCUUCCAGUCAUUUAAGAUGAAAUAUCCUGAAUUAUUUUGUUGAUAUAGUGCUAUAAAUAGCAGUGCUCAAGUCUCUGCUAUCUCUAUUAUAUAUGUGUAUGCGUGAAAAUCAAAAAAAAAAGAAAAAGAAGAGAAAUCAGCUAUUACCAUAGAUUUUUAAAACAUUUUAUUAUCAUAAUUUUUCUUAUUAUUUGAUUUUAAUAAAAAAAAGAUUAAAUGUAGAAAAAUUCAUAACUGAGUUGAUUAUUUUUAAUAAUUGGCAAUGAAGCUGAAUUUUUUCAUAAUAAGUUAUUUAUCAUUACUUUUAUAGAUUAAUUUGUGUAAAAGAAAAUAAUACAGAGUUAAUUAUACAAUAAUUAACAUUGAAGUGUCAUUUCGAUUUACAUAAUUUAAAAAAUUGUAACACCAAUCAAAUUAUCAUCAGUUAUUCACACUAAAUACAUACUUAUUCAUCAGUUACUUUCAACUCAUGAAUAUUCAUCAGUUAAUCACUCUAAAUACAUACAUAUUCAUCAGUUACUUCACCAAAUAAAUAUUCAGAAAUUUAUCACUCUAUAUACAGACAUAUGCAUCAGCUACUUUCACCAAAUGAAUAUUCAUCAAUAAAUCAUUCUUAAUAUAUAUACAUUGAUCAGUUAGUUCAUAUUCGAUAAAUUUCUAAUCAGUUAUUUCUUUUAAAUGAAUAUACUAGUUUUUCACAAUUUGUGUUGUUGAAUUUCAUUAUACUGUUGUGUGUGUGAAUCCUGUCUUAUGUUUUGUUUCAUAUAAGGUUUUUGUUGCAGCAUUUUAAUGGCAUCUCCUCUAUAAUAUUGAAUAUUUUCCUAUGUUGUUCUUCAUCAAUUAAUGUAAUUUUUAUUCAAAUUUUGUAUUCAGUCUCCUUAUUAAUAUGCUUGCAUAAUUAGAACUUGCUAGAGUAAUGUGAAUUUGGGAUUUAUAUUAUAAAUUAUGAUGUGGUGGGGUGGGUUUGAUUAUAAUUAUUGCAUUUUCAUUUCAAAGCUUUAAUUCUAGGUAAAAGAAGAUUUAUAUUUAACUAAUAUUCAAAGAUCAAAGGAAAGCUGUUAUGUUGUAAAGGAAUUCAGAUAUUUUU
rnacentral:lncRNA from 1 species